GGGCCGUUAGCUCAGUUGGUUAGAGCAGGGGACUCAUAAUCCCUGGGUCGCGGGUUCAAGUCCCGCACGGCCUA
rnacentral:tRNA from 1 species